GACGAACGCUGGCGGCGUGCCUAACACAUGCAAGUCGAGCGGAGACAGUAGCAAUAUUGUCUUAGCGGCGGACGGGUGAGUAACACGUUGGCAACCUGCCUCUAUCCGGGGGAUAACAUCGGGAAACCGGUGCUAAUACCGCAUAACAUCGCGCCACCGCAUGGUGGUGCGAUCCAAGGAGCAAUCCGAUAAGAGAUGGGCCCGAGUCCGAUUAGAGAGUUGGUGGGGUAACGGCCUACCAAGUCUGCGAUCGGUAGCCGGACUGACGGGGUGAUCGGCCACAGUGGGAAUGAGAUACGGCCCAGACUCCUACGGGGGGCAGCAGUGGGGAAUAUUGCACAAUGGGGGAAACCCUGAUGCAGCAACGCCGCGUGAAGGAUGAAGGUUUUCGGAUUGUAAACUUCUUUGACCGGGGACGAAACAAAUGACGGUACCCGGAAAACAAGCCACGGCUAACUACGUGCCAGCAGCCGCAGUAAGAC
rnacentral:rRNA from 1 species